GCACAGUGGCGCAGCGGAAGCGUGCUGGGCCCAAAACCCAGAGGCGCUGGAUCGAAACCAUCCCCUGCAAGAUGCA
rnacentral:tRNA from 1 species